UGAGAAAAUUAGAGUGUUCAAAGCAGGCAUUUGCUUGAAUAUAUUAGCAUGGAAUAAUCAUGUAUGAUUUUCAUGAUGUAUUUGAUUGGUUUGGUUCAUGAGAAUAAGAUUAAAAGGGACAGUUGGGGGUAUUCAUAUUCAAUAGUCAGAGGUGAAAUUCUCGGACUUAUGGAAGAUGAACAAGUGCGAAAGCAUUUACCAAGGAUGUUUUCAUUAAUCAAGAACGAAAGUUAGGGGAUCGAAGAGGAUUAGAUACCCUCGUAGUCCUAA
rnacentral:rRNA from 1 species